GGCGUAUCUCGAAACAAAUUACAGAACUGGAUUAUAGAGUACAUUAUGUAUCAAACAGAGAUCUUCCUUUGUUAUAAAAUUUCAAUAACAUCCGAAUCUCAUCUACCACGGAACUGACGUUCAGAGAGAUUUAAAUGUAAGUUUAAAUUCAACAAAGAAAAGAAAUCUAUUUCAAAGAUCACUCAGGUAAAAUCAUAUUGAGAUGCUAUUGAAGUGUACGCGAUUCAUUGAAAGCAAUGAAUAAAAAAAAUCAGUGAAUUAACUAGCGUCUCCUAUAGCAAUACCUCAAAACAGAUCCAUUCUUCGCGCAAGGAAAUAAGAGAAAAGGACAGUAAGAGUCGCGAAGACGGUUUAAUUACAAAAUCGAUGUACCGGAUAUUAGCAAGAGACAAGAAUUCAGCAUGGCCAAGACAGGACGCGGAGAUAUAAAAGUGAAUGAGAGAUUCCUGACGUGUGGUCUGUGCAGCCAGUGGUUCACUCAGCCCCGGACCUUACCCUGCCUCCAUUCCUACUGCGAGAACUGUCUGUCCAAGCACAUUCAUGACUACAUUGCCAAGUCCAGCGUCAAAAAGGGGAUCCGCCAAGAACUGGACAACCAAGUUUCCCCUCAACACGUUCCUUAUGGAUCUACUGGACGUGGAACUCCUGAUGAGGGGCGAGAAAACUUGUGGUCCGUGUACACGUAAUGGCGACCGAUCGGACGUAGUUUCCUGGUGCAAAGAAUGCCGGGACGGGCUCUGCAAGAACUGCUCCAAGGUUCAUCGUGGAAUGCGUGUGUCCAUGGACCACACAGUGCUUAGCAAGGAAGAGUUCAUGAAGCACGUUUCUCUGCUACAGGAACAACAAGAGCCGUGUCAGAAACAUCCGGGCAAGACACUGGACAUGUACUGUAUGACGGACAGGGAACUUUGUUGUCCGAACUGUGUGGCGGAAGAACACAGACGCUGUGACCGAGUUGUGUCCGUGAUGGACGCGGUCAAGCAGAGCCGUCUGGACAAAACCCCGGAGUUCCUCAAGAAAAACCUAGAGGAAUACAACGAGCACAUAGAGAAGGUCAUCGCAUCCAGAACCAAUAAGCUGCUAAGUCUGGACGAACAGAAAACCAAGCUUAUUGACGAGUUUGCUCAAAUUCGCAUUAACGUCAUAAAUAUUCUGGACAAAAUGGAGAAAGCUAUCAAGAAGGAGCUGUCUGACAUCCACUCUGGGGAAACCAAGGCAAUGGAGAAAGAGGUGAGCAAGUCUAGAAAGAUACAAUCGGCGGUCACCAAUGCGCACGAAUUGCUGAACGUUACUGAAAACCAUGGGUCCGACUCCAACCUCAUGAAAACCAUUGAGGAGGUCAAGAGGGAAUGCCUGUGGUACGAAGAAGAGAUGGGUAAACUGAGGAGCAAAAUUCAAGACUGUGAGUACGUUUUCGAAAUUGACGAGCAUAUAGAAACAUUGCUCAACAAAGUGAAAAAGUACGGAGAUUUGAAAGUCCGCCACUCGCCCUCAAAACUGCAACCCUUCCCCAACACCGUGACGAUUGAAAAGUCGAUCGAGCAGGGAAAACAAUUCAAGUCUACCCUGUCUUUGAAAGGGCGAAAAGCAGAACUCGCGAAAGCAUUUGAUGCCAAAAUGGAAGAUGACAUUAAAGACUGUUGGUACACUGGGGCCGCAUUCCUUAGCGAUGGAAGAUUUGUACUAGUGGAUCGUUCUAAUCGAAAACUGAAGCUAUUCAGCAAGAACUACCGGCUUCUAAACAGCAUCUUUUUCACAACGAAACCUUGGGACGUGACAGUUGUUGGGGAGAACGAGAUCGCCGUGACACUUCCGGAGGAGCACGGGAUACAGCUUCUGACCACGGGGGACUCCAUUAAAAUGUCAGACUACUUUACCACGGAGGAAGCUUGCUUCGGAAUCAAACACGUGCGAGGGAAGUUCUUCGCUCUUUGCUACGACGGAAAGCCUCCGGCAUUGAAAGUUAUUUCUUCAGACGGAAGGGAACUUGCAGCCAUUGGAGUUGAUGACGACGGAUCUCCGUUAUUUUCACGGCCGAUAUAUGUAACGUCAAAUAACGCCGGUACCGUGAUCUUCGUGUCAGACGAACGCCGAGGUUGUAUCACGUGUCUUACGGAAACCUCCGAGCACUGCUACACCUAUUCCACAAUAGAUCUCAGCCAUGUUGCAGGAAUAACGCUGGAUCGUGAAGGCAACCUCUAUGUUUGCAGGAACCAUGCAAAAAGCGUGCAAGUUGUAACACCCGAGGGAGACCGCAUAAAGACCAUCGUGUCACGAGAGGAAAUUACGUAUCCACGUGCUAUUGCAUACGACGAGAAAGAGGAUCGUCUGCUCAUAACUCAGGGGGACAAGAGCGUAGUCAAAAUAUUCCAGUUUGAGUAACAUUCAUUAGAAAGCUUAUUUCUAUCACAUAAUCAUUCUCAUGAAACAUGUUAUAUUUGCCAAACUUGCUUAUAAUUAUCCUUUAUCAAUUCCGUAAAAUAAUAAAUAUAUGCAUUUUUACGCAAUGCUGCUAGUAUAUACUACAACUUAUUCAGUAGCUGAACAUAUUGUCAUCUUAAAACCUUGAUUACCCUAUCAUCUGUAAAUGUGAACAUUUAUAUAGGAAGACAAUGGAUCAUUUCAUGAUAAUUUUAUUAUUCAUUAUUUUUUACAAUUAAAUUAAAAAAAGCAUUUUAUUGACUUUUUUGUCAAUGAGUUAUACAUGUACAUGUAAAACUAAGCACAUGUGGAGAGUAUAUAGUUGACUGACAAGCAUUGCCAAUUAUCAUAUUCCAAAGUUUAAAUUACAUGUAUAAGCACAAAAUUUUAAGAGAGUUUGAAAUUUGACUGCUUUGCAUGUAUAUUAUCCAGUCUUUGUAGCAGGACACUUCUAUUAUGGCAGAUAAAAUAAUCCAUACUGAGUCGUGCAGAUAAAAUCUAGGCUUUGGUUCCCACGACUUCAUCAAUCCAUUUUAAGUAUGGUGGAUUUCCAUUGUCAAUCUAAAAUUACAUAAAAGCCUUUAGAAGUUGUUGAAAAUAUCAUUAUUCAUUAAAACCAACAGACUCACUUUUUCAAAGUCUACAUAAUCAUUCCAAAAAUGCAGUCUUGUACUUUUUUAAAUUUUUU
rnacentral:misc_RNA from 1 species